AACGAACGCUGGCGGCGCGCCUAAUACAUGCAAGUCGAGCGAGAAGACGUAGCAAUACGUUUGUAAGGCGGCGAACGGGUGAGGAAUACAUGGGUAACCUACCCUCGAGUGGGGAAUAACUAGCCGAAAGGUUAGCUAAUACCGCGUACGCUCCUUGGACUUCGGUUCAGGGAGGAAAGCGAUACCGUGGGUAUCGCGCUCUUGGAUGGGCUCAUGUCCUAUCAGCUUGUUGGGAGGUAACGGCUCACCAAGGCUUCGACGGGUAGCUGGUCUGAGAGGACGAUCAGCCACACUGGCACUGCGACACGGGCCAGACUCCUACGGGAGGCAGCAGUAAGGAAUAUUGCGCAAUGGGCGAAAGCCUGACGCAGCGACGCCGCGUGAGGGAUGACGGCC
rnacentral:rRNA from 1 species